UGUGUGUGCGGAGCUCCCUCCAUCAGCGUCUGGUCCAGUGGGCUGGUUAUGAUGCUGGUCUGGAGCUGGUGACUGCACACACACUCGAGACCACACACACCCUGCAGCUCUGCCAGAGCCCGCCCCUCUCACUGCACAACCUACAGGCCAACGCUGAUAGGCUACAGCUCCUACAGAAUGCAAAUGAGGAGAUAGACCAAAAGUGGGAGGAGCUUGGCCAGACUCUCUCCGCCCUCAUGGGCCUGAUUGAUGCAGACUCCGCCCAUAUCCUGACAGAGCAGCUGGAGAUGGAGAGAACACAGUGGUGUGAAGUGAAGCAGAGGCUCUCAGCUGAUCUCCAGAGGUGUGUGUGUGUGGUGGAGGAGUGGCGUCGGUACGUGGGUGUGUGUGUUCCCUGCUCCGAGCGCCUGCAGCUGUACCGAGACCAGCUGAGCGCUCUCACACACCCCCUCCACCCCCCCUCAGACCACACACCACAGGACCUCACACACCACAUUCACACCA